CAGGCUGGGCAGGAAGUGUGUGACUGGUGUUUACUUCCUGCCUGAGUGCUGUAGAACAGAGGCGCGGAGCUACAACAGAAUUAAAUAUGGGAUACAGUCAAAAGAGCCUGACUGGGGACUCAGAUGUUCCCUUUUCCCACCACUCUUAUGGGCUGUUUAAAACAGCCAUGGAGAGAGCCUGUCCCUAGAUGCCACCAUGCCCUGCGCAAGCAGUUAUUGCCACUUCCAGCAUCACAACUAAGAGGGGGAGAAGACUGGGAGAAAGGACUGACUCUGACCUGAUUGGAGCUGAGCAUCUGGACCAGCAGGCCCGGCCCGGAAUAGGAGUGCAUGGAACUGGCCCAGCGGGGACUUUCACAGUUUCCCGCUGGGCUAAUCUGCCCCUGCACAUGAUCAGACGACAGUGCUGAACCAGUGGUUGAGUACAUGCAGGAAAAGUACAAGAACAGUGGUUGCUCUGUAUGGGACACAGUGAUUGGCCUCUUUUUCAUACAAAACAAUUACCUUUAUUUCAUUAAAUUAAAAAUCAUCCUGCAAGUUCAGGCAGAAAAAGCAAAUUAUUUUUAAACCGAUGAAAGACUUGGACAAAAGACUCGAAUAAAGUGAAUUAAAAUCGAAUUGGUUCAAUAGGCAGCUGUGCCUGAAUGUAUCUAGAUUAUCAGGAUAGUCAUAUGUAAUUCACUAUACUCUUACAGGUCUUGUUCUGCUUUAAAAUGAAGCUAUUCUAUUGAUUACCCAAACAAAUACAUAGCUAGUAAAUAUCUGA